CCUACGGGGGGCAGCAGUGAGGAAUAUUGGUCAAUGGGCGAGAGCCUGAACCAGCCAAGUCGCGUGAGGGAGUACUGCCCUAUGGGUUGUAAACCUCUUUUGUCGGGGAGCAAAAGCCGGACGUGUCCGGCUGUGAGAGUACCCGAAGAAAAAGCAUCGGCUAACUCCGUGCCAGCAGCCGCGGUAAUACGGAGGAUGCGAGCGUUAUCCGGAUUUAUUGGGUUUAAAGGGUGCGCAGGCGGAUUUUUAAGUCAGCGGUAAAAUCGUGGGGCUCAACCCCAUCCAGCCGUUGAAACUGGGGAUCUAGAGUGUGCGAGAGGUAGGCGGAAUGCGUGGUGUAGCGGUGAAAUGCAUAGAUAUCACGCAGAACCCCGAUUGCGAAGGCAGCAUACCGGUGCACAACUGACGCUCAGGCACGAAAGCGUGGGUAUCGAACAGGAUUAGAUACCCUUGUAGUC
rnacentral:rRNA from 1 species